AGUGAACGCUGGCGGUAGGCCUAACACAUGCAAGUCGAACGGCAGCACAGUAAGAGCUUGCUCUUACGGGUGGCGAGUGGCGGACGGGUGAGGAAUACAUCGGAAUCUACUUUUUCGUGGGGGAUAACGUAGGGAAACUUACGCUAAUACCGCAUACGACCUACGGGUGAAAGCAGGGGAUCUUCGGACCUUGCGCGAUUGAAUGAGCCGAUGUCGGAUUAGCUAGUUGGCGGGGUAAAGGCCCACCAAGGCGACGCUCCGUAGCUGGUCUGAGAGGAUGAUCAGCAACACGGGAACUGAGAAACGUUCCAGACUCCGACGGGAGGCAGCAGUGGGGAAUAUUGGACAAGGGGCGCAAGCCUGAUCCAGCCAUACCGCGUGGGUGAAGAAGGCCUUCGAGUUGUAAAGCCCUUUUGUUGGGAAAGAAAAGCAGCAGGUUAAUACCCCGCUGUUCUGACGGUACCCAAAGAAUAAGCACCGGCUAACUUCGU
rnacentral:rRNA from 1 species